rnacentral:miRNA from 1 species
GUACAAGGCUAAAUAGGGCCCUGGGAUGAGGCACCUGUGACAGGGAGGGGUGCAAAACCAAGGAGUUGGCUAGACUCCCAAAUAUAUACAUAUAAAACAAGGGGGGUUGGCUGCACUCACCUGAACAUGCAUAAAUGGGGGUGCUGCUGGGGGCCAAAUAAUACAAAACACAAGAUCCAGCGCACUCACCUAUCCACUAAACAGCAACUUCAAAGUUGAAAGAUUUGGUUUUGCACCCCUCCCUGUCACAGGUGCCUCAUCCCAGGGCCCUAUUUAGCCUUGUACU